AAGCUGCUGUUUUGGGUUAAGAAGCUGCUGUUAUUUCCUUCCUCUGUUGUACUUCGAUGGUAGUCGAAAGAUGAAGGGCUCACGCUCCCGGUUUGCGUUAAAUAGCAUUGGAUUCCAGCAACUUCUUCAGAAUACUCGGAGGGUUCGAUCUCCGCCAGAAUGUCACGGAAAAUUUCCUUCUACAUACGGAAUUUUUUUUCUUAAAUCUGAAAAUAACAACCACAAAAUGAUACAUGUAAAACACGGUUUGCACAAAUGAUCCGCAUGCUUAACUCACGCUUGGUUAUAAAGCUGUAACGGGUCGACACAAACACCGCAGUCGUUUGACCGCACCGCGAUAUUUUGCCAGAUCUACCGCUGUUUCUUCUUCACUGCUGCAAUCGUCACUUACGAAGUGGGAUAAAAUCAUUUCGAUGUUUUAAACAAGGAUUGUUGCUUGAUAAACGAUCGUGUCUCAAAUAAACUUGUUUACGUUU